rnacentral:lncRNA from 1 species
UCGAGCAAGCUUUCGCUUUUUCUCCCGGCUUUCUACAACUUUCGCUUUAGCUUCGCGACCCAAUGACCUUUCCGGAAUUUUAAGUAUUCGUCGCCCUACCCUAAGAAAGAAGUCACUAUAAAACAGCUUGCCCUCCUGAAGUACCAAAGGUGCGCGGAGCCCGGUGAAAAUGAAUAUGUUUGCUACUGAAAGAAGCCUGCCUAUUGACUAAUAUUCGUCUUUAGAAUGAAAGUAGCUAUGAAGCCCAAUCUACUGUCGAUUCAAAAGAGGGCAUAGUCGUAUGGGUGGGGUGUUUGUGGGGAGCUGCCUUGGAUAUGAGGAAUUCCUCAAAAAAAAUAGAACAAAGGCAAAGUCCGUGACGAAGAUCUUGAUUUUCUAUCAAUAGAUAGGAAUGAGUGUUCGUUAUAGGGGAUAGGAUCCAUCUGCUCUCUCUCUAUUUUCUUUGAUGCAAUUUAGAGAGAAAGAGCAGUGCGAACUAGAAAAAAAAGAUA